AUGAUCGCCAGGCCAUUAACUCAAUUCAUGUGCAAGAAUGUCCAAUUCCAGUGGACGGAGGCCACCCAGUCUGCCUUCGAUGCUCUUAAGGUCUCCCUGACAUCAGCACCAAUCUUGGCUCUGCCGGAUUUCAUAAAAACAUUCGUCAUUGAAACAGAUGCGUGUGAAUAUGGAGUGGGGGCAGUGUUACAGCAGGAAGGGCAUCCCAUCGCGUACCUCAGUAAAGCAUUGGGUCCUCGCACCAAAGGUCUCUCAACAUAUGAGAAAGAAUACCUUGCCAUUGUACUAGCAGUCGACCACUGGCGACCCUACCUACAAUUUGGUGAAUUUCUGGUGAAAACGGACCAACGUAGCUUAGUGCACUUGGAGGAACAACGCCUCCAUACCCCA
rnacentral:rRNA from 1 species